GAGUUUGAUCUUGGCUCAGAUUGAACGCUGGCGGCAGGCCUAACACAUGCAAGUCGAGCGGAUGACGGGAGCUUGCUCCUUGAUUCAGCGGCGGACGGGUGAGUAAUGCCUAGGAAUCCGCCUGGUAGUGGGGGACAACGUUUCGAAAGGAACGCUAAUACCGCAUACGUCCUACGGGAGAAAGCAGGGGACCUUCGGGCCUUGCGCUAUCAGAUGAGCCUAGGUCGGAUUAGCUAGUUGGUGGGGUAAUGGCUCACCAAGGCGACGAUCCGUAACUGGUCUGAGAGGAUGAUCAGUCACACUGGAACUGAGACACGGUCCAGACUCCUACGGGAGGCAGCAGUGGGGAAUAUUGGACAAUGGGCGAAAGCCUGAUCCAGCCAUGCCGCGUGUGUGAAGAAGGUCUUCGGAUUGUAAAGCACUUUAAGUUGGGAGGAAGGGCAGUAAGUUAAUACCUUGCUGUUUUGACGUUACCGACAGAAUAAGCACGGCUAACUCUGUGCCAGCCGCCGCGGU
rnacentral:rRNA from 1 species